rnacentral:other from 1 species
CUUAUCCUAGGGUGUGCGAUACUCCUGUUAUUUUGAACCUACAUUACUUUAAACGGGAUUCCAAUAUCUUUAAGCGGAUGUCAGGCCUCCGAUACGCAGUGGAAGGCAGAAACUUAUUUGAGGUUACCCACCUAGCUUUGCUAGGAGUCAAAAUACAGGAACCGGCAUUUUGGGAUAAGG